rnacentral:rRNA from 1 species
AUGUCUUCACCGCCGCCCAACCCGUCUCUCCCGCUAUCCUCCGUCGCGCCCGCCCCCGUCGUCCUCACCCCGGAGGAGGUGUCUGGGGCGCUGCGGGACCUAACCCAGGCGGUCCAGGAGAUCCACCUGUUCUUGGCCGGGUCCUACGGGCCGCACCCGGCUGCGCCACAUGGGAUGCCGUGGCAGCCGCCGCACAAGGCGGCCUCCGCUGCAGCUGCCAUCCACCGCCACCGCCGCCCCGCCCUGGCUACAGUGGCAGCCGCCGCUCCUGGCGGCCUCCGCCAUGCCUGGCGCUCCGCCACAGCAGCCGCUGCAGCUGCAGCAGCCACCGCCGGUCAGCUCCGGCCCCGCAUCGCCCGCGCCGGCGAGAGUCCCGAUCCACCAGGUCCGGUUCCCGCCCUCGCCGUCACCGCUUCUGUCUUGGAUCGCUACCCACCACGUGUCGGCGGCAGUGAGGUUGCAGGCUGCUGCGCGCGGCUCCUAGCGCAUCGGCGUGUGCGGGAGAUGUGUGGUCUGCAGCUGCCGCUCCUCCAAAUUUCCCUUCGCUGCGCAAAGGACCUCGAUCUCGUCCGCUGCGUCGGGGAUCUUGGGCAUGCGGUUUCCCCCACGGGCGGUGGGCAUGCUGCUUUCCCCGUGGGCAGCGACCUCAAAGUCUGCGACAUCGGUGGUUGGGGGACGCACCCCUCCUCGUCAUUCUCCACCGCAAGCCCUUCAUUCUUCCCCUGUGCGGUGCACACCAACAGCCAUACACAUGCACUCCUUUUGUCCAGGUGGUGUCCAUGGGAUCCAAGUGGCUGUACAUGUGCACGUCCAAAAUAG